rnacentral:rRNA from 1 species
GUGGGGAAUUUUGGACAAUGGGGGCAACCCUGAUCCAGCCAUUCCGCGUGAGUGAAGAAGGCCUUCGGGUUGUAAAGCUCUUUCGGCAGGAACGAAACGGUGAGCUAUAACAUAGCUCGCUAAUGACGGUACCUGAAGAAGAAGCACCGGCUAACUACGUGCCAGCAGCCGCGGUAAUACGUAGGGUGCGAGCGUUAAUCGGAAUUACUGGGCGUAAAGCGUGCGCAGGCGGUUGUGUAAGACGGGUGUGAAAUCACCGGGCUUAACCUGGGAACUGCGCUUGUGACUGCACGGCUAGAGUAUGGCAGAGGGGGGUGGAAUUCCACGUGUAGCAGUGAAAUGCGUAGAGAUGUGGAGGAACACCGAUGGCGAAGGCAGCCCCCUGGGCCAAUACUGACGCUCAUGCACGAAAGCGUGGGGAGCAAACAGGAUUAGAAACCCGGGUAGUCC